AACACAUGCAAGUCGAGCGCCCUCGCAAGAAGGGAGCGGCGGACGGGUGAGUAACGCGUGGGAAUUUUCCUCAAGUACGGAACAACUCAGGGAAACUUGGGCUAAUACCGUAUGAUGUCUAGCGACCAAAGAUUUAUCGCCUUGGGAUAAGCCCGCGUCAGAUUAGGUAGUUGGUGGGGUAACGGCCUACCAAGCCUGCGAUCUGUAGCUGGUCUGAGAGGACGAUCAGCCACACUGGGACUGAGACACGGCCCAGACUCCUACGGGAGGCAGCAGUGGGGAAUCUUGCGCAAUGGGCGAAAGCCUGACGCAGCCAUGCCGCGUGAAUGAUGAAGGUCUUAGGAUUGUAAAGUUCUUUCGCUCGUGACGAUGAUGACGGUAACGAGAGAAGAAG
rnacentral:rRNA from 1 species